UACGUAGGGGGCAAGCGUUGUCCGGAAUCAUUGGGCGUAAAGAGCGUGUAGGCGGCCCGAUAAGUCCGCUGUGAAAGUCCAGGGCUCAACCCUGGAAUGCCGGUGGAUACUGUCGGGCUCGAAUCCGGAAGAGGUGAGUGGAAUUCCUGGUGUAGCGGUGGAAUGCGCAGAUAUCAGGAGGAACACCAAUAGCGAAGGCAGCUCGCUGGGACGGUACUGACGCUGAGGUGCGAAAGCGUGGGGAGCAAACAGG
rnacentral:rRNA from 1 species